GACAGAGGGGGCGAGCGUUGUCCGGAGUCACUGGGCGUAAAGCGCGCGCAGGCGGCAACCUAAGUGUCGUGUGAAAGCGCCCGGCUCAACCGGGGGAGGCCAUGGCAAACUGGGUCGCUCGAGCUGCGGAGAGGCCCCUCGAAUUGCCGGUGUAGCGGUGAAAUGCGUAGAGAUCGGCUGGAAGACCAAGGGGGAAGCCAGGGGGCUGGCCGCAGGCUGACGCUGAGGCGCGACAGCGUGGGGAGCAAACCGG
rnacentral:rRNA from 1 species